rnacentral:snRNA from 1 species
CUGGCUUCUCGGCCUUUUGGCUAAGAUCAAGUGUAGAACUUCUUUUUUUUAAAGUAAAACAAUAAGUACUUUUUGUUUCAAGGUGGACGUCUC